rnacentral:lncRNA from 13 species
AAGAACUAAUAAAGCUCUCACAGCGCCAGCUUAGAUGGAGACCCAGAGCUGGCCCGGGUAAAGUGAGGAUGUUGAGUCUCCCCCCGACUCUCCCUCCACUGUCUCCUGAUACCUGUUUCUGCAGAGCAGUGCUGACCCACUCUGGGCAGGUGGUCAUUUGGGAUCCCACCUCAGCACCCUGUUGGGCCUGUGAGCCCGGGACCGCGUCCUCUUGCCAGGCAUCUCAGCCCCACCUGGACGCUAUUUCCCCAGGGCCCAGCUCUUCCCAAAUGGAACCUAAUCCAACCAACUGGUGAGCUUAGGACAAUGUGUCCCUGCAAAACUCCCCUGUCCCACAGGUUCUCCAGACCUUUCAACCCAAAUCUGGUGCCUUUUCAGGGUCCCGUAGACAAGAAUGCCAAUGUAAUUAGGAUAAGAGGCAGGAAGGGGUUUAAAGCUCAGGCCAAGUUUAUUAAAAAAUACACCAUGGGAAAAAACAGAGACCUGGUGGAGUUCUCGCUGUGUUCACGUGCUGAGUGACUGAGAGGCGCACAGCCUCACAUGCAUGCACACGUGAUGUGUUCAUUCAGGGAGGGAGGGCUUUGUCCUCCUUGCCUAGGCUCAACCCAAGAGCUAGGAGAAAAAUAACAGCAGGCAUGGGAGGUGGGGCAUCCAGAGCAGUGAGGCAUAGCCUGCUACACUCUCUUUAUGCAGGUGUCACUGGGCAGGGAUCUGAGGAGGCGCUGGGCCAGGGCUUCCAGAGCAGAGGGAACUGCAGGCUCCUGAGGCUAGAGGCCAGGAGGUCAGCAGGGAGGCAGGAGGAAGGGAAGGAAGGGGAGGAGUGGGAGGAGGUGGGGCCACAGACACCCUUGGGGCCAGCAGUGUCGGCCUUCAGAGGCCCUGGAAGGACCUUGGCUUCCCCCCAGGCAGUGGAGUCCAAUGCAUUCUGCCUUCAGUCUUCCAUGACCUUUAUCUCAGCUCCUCCUCAGCACGUGACAGGAGGCUCCCUAGGGGCACACCGCGUGCCUGUGCCUCCCCGCGCCAAAGCUGGACUCCAUGAGUCCACAGCACCAUUCUGCUCAGUAGGUUGUGCAAACAGGAGAAUGACGCAAGCCGACCUCACCGGCGUCUUCUGUCCUGGGCCAAGUCCGCUUGCUGGCACCUCUGCAGCCUGCGUGCAGCAUUCCGCAGGGCUCCUUCUGACUGACUGCUCGUAUUCCACGCUACUACAUGAGCUCUAUGUUGUUGAAAUCUCAAAUAUCACGUCUGUUCUGCGUGGGGAAGUGUUUUGA